UACGAAGGGGGCUAGCGUUGCUCGGAAUCACUGGGCGUAAAGCGCACGUAGGCGGCUUCUUAAGUCAGGGGUGAAAUCCUGGAGCUCAACUCCAGAACUGCCCUUGAUACUGAGAGGCUCGAGUCCGGGAGAGGUGAGUGGAACUCCGAGUGUAGAGGUGAAAUUCGUAGAUAUUCGGAAGAACACCAGUGGCGAAGGCGGCCAACUGGACCAUUACUGACGCUGAGGCGCGAAAGCGUGGGGAGCAAACAGG
rnacentral:rRNA from 1 species